rnacentral:rRNA from 1 species
UGGGGAAUAUUGGGCAAUGGAGGCAACUCUGACCCAGCAACGCCGCGUGAAUGAAGAAGGCCUUCGGGUUGUAAAGUUCUUUAAUUGGGGACGAAGAAAGUGACGGUACCCAAAGAAUAAGCCACGGCUAACUACGUGCCAGCAGCCGCGGUAAUACGUAGGUGGCAAGCGUUGUCCGGAAUGACUGGGCGUAAAGGGAGCGUAGGCGGCGCAACAAGUUAGGAGUGAAAUCCCGGGGCUUAACCCCGGAACUGCUUUUAAAACUGUUGUGCUUGAGUGAUGGAGAGGAAAGCGGAAUUCCUAGUGUAGCGGUGGAAUGCGUAGAUAUUAGGAGGAACACCAGAGGCGAAGGCGGCUUUCUGGGCUCUAACUGACGCUGAGGCACGAAAGUGUGGGUAGCAAACAGGAUUAGAUACCCUGGUAGU